UCGACCGACCGAUGAAUCGAUAUCAAUUUGACCCUCUUCUACCCCCGCUGUGCCUCGUGGUGUGGUCGAGUGGCAAACCUCUCUUAACAGAGCAACUCCCGGCGCCCAGCGCGCCAAGGAACUGUAGUCAAUCGGAACGGACUGAGUGGUCGACCCCGACGGGGCGCGCCCUCUUCGCAACCGAACCAAACAUCACACAUGCUCACGUACGACUCUCGGCAAUGAAUAUGUCAACUCUCGCAUCGAUGAAGAACGUAGCGAAAUGCGAUACUUUGUGUGAAUUGCAGAAUCUUGUGAAACCAUCGAGUCUUUGAACGGGAGUUGCGCCCAAGGCCGUCGGGCCGAGGGCACGCCUGCCUGGGCGUCAUGCCACCCAUCGCUCACCGCAUUCAACCCAGAGGGUGACGCGGAGAUUGGCCACUCGUGCCGGAGACAAUCUCUGUGAGCGGUGGGCCCAUAUGCAGGAAUUUUGUGCGGUUGGACGCGACGAGUGGUGUCCCGAGCAAUACUGCAGACGCCGCGCCUUCCCAUGCCCCACUACGUGGAAUGAGAGUGGCACGGAUUGCAGGCUACCGAUGCGACGUGAGCGGAUCGGCGUGCCGGCUCCCAAAAAAUUAGCA
rnacentral:rRNA from 1 species